AUACGGAGAGCCACGGCCUGCCG
rnacentral:siRNA from 1 species